UCUAAGUAUCACCUGCCAGACAGGGAAACUGCGUACGGCUCAUUACACCAGCCUUAAUUUACUUGACCUUGACAACCUACUUGGAUAACUGUGGUAAUUCUAGAGCUAAUACAUGCACCAAAGCUCCUCGCGGAGAGGAGCGCAUUUGUUCGCCACAAAACCAAGCCCCCAUCUGGGCGUCCAGUGCUGAACCCGAACAACUCAGCUGAUCGCACGGUCUUGUACCGGCGACGUGUCUUUCAAGUGUCUGCCUUAUCAACUUUCCAUGGUAGUGUACCUGACUACCAUGGUUGUGACGGGUAACGGAGGAUAAGGGUUCGACUCCGGAGAAGGGGCCUGAGAAAUGGCCACUACGUCUAAGGAUGGCAGCAGGCGCGCAAAUUACCCACUCUCAACGCGAGGAGGUACUGACGAGAAAUAACGAGACCGUUCUCAUACGAGGCCGGUUAUUGGAAUGGGUACAAUUUAAACCGAU
rnacentral:rRNA from 1 species